GAUGUGUCUUUAACGGGUAUCCGAGGCAUGUCUCCCCCUCCCCAUUGUAUUUAGGGGGCAGAUAACAAGUUUUCUGAUUUCACAGGUCCACAGAUGGAGAGGGAUUUCCCCUCCCCAGGAUGGAUUACACCCAGUGUCUCACCCACAGUUAAUUUCGAUGACUUAGACUGUGAGAUUUAGAAAUUCUGAACUGAUGAAAUUUAGAUGAGAUUCAUGACUUUGAGCUAGUGCUACACAAUAGAUCGGAACUUUGGGUGAUACUGAGAUAGGGUAAAUAUAUUUUGCAUUUGUGAAAGUUGUGACUCUUUGGGAGUAUUUAUCAUAUCUCCAAGUGCACAAUUAAUUCAGGAGGGGCAGGUAUCAGUCCAUGAACUUUCCAAGGGAGCCAUGAGUAGGCUCAGGAAGUCUGCAACGCCACCUCCCAUCUCCUGACAAAAAGCAGUGUGCAAGUCGGGCUAUAGGGAUAUGUGCAGUUUCUAAAUCCUCAGUGAGGUCUAUGACCCAGAAAAGACUAAGAAUCAUUUCCUUAAGGCUUUCAAAUGCGCUGAAGAAUGAAACAUAAACGAUAUUAAUUUGCUUCCCAUGGCCAAGUUCCUGGCUUACAAGGAUGGUCAGACUCUAGGACAGCCUUGAUGUCUGUACAAGAGCUCUCCCAAUCCCUGAGCCCCACAGCAGAGCUUCCUUUAUCGUAUCUCCAAGUGCACAAUUAACUCCCCAGGCAGCAGACCCUAAUGAAGCAAACCGAUUAUGGGUCCAUUAGAGCCUUGCCGAGGGCCAUUCAUCGUCCCCGCAGCCAGCCAGCAUCCCAGAGAGUGCGUGAUGUUUUCCCGAGGAGGGGACUGAGCCUGGAGACAUUCAUUUGUUCCCUUCAGAGCCCUCCAGCUCCCCGUGGUCUCACCUUCCCAGGCUGGGGUGGGGCCGGGGAGACUACAUGUGUCCCUGUAGGAUGUCACAGCAGAGGAAGGGAAAGAGGCAUGGGGCUGGGCCUCCCAUCAGCUCUGUUCACCACCAGAGGGGACCAUUUGUUUCCGGAGGUCCAUGGAAUUUCCUUAGUUUCCAUUAAAUCCCCAAGGUAUUGAGAGUGCAAGAAAUACACCGGGCUCUGAAAGGAAUCCAAAAUGUGGACCUAUCUAUUCAGUCUGAAGAACCAAAUUGUGUUCUCUUGCUAUUAAGAGAUAUGGACAGUGGAGACGGGUAAAUGGCUUGCCGGGAUGGGCUCAGAUGCCCUGGAGGCCGUGAGAGUGAAAAGGCUCCUCCUUGACCUCAUUACCCUUAACAAGCUGGCCAGAAUCCCUGCUAAAAUGUCAGGACACACGCCCCAAGAUAACUCCCAGGAAAUAGCCUGUGUAUUAGAAAACUGUCCACACUCCCCGGACUGACUUCUCUAGAGACAGAGGCGGUUCAGAACCAGGGGUACAGACAGUGACCCUGGCCAACAGCAGUGUCCCCUGAUGAAAAUUAAUCUCUGAGCACUCCCCUCUGCUGGGAUGGUGGUGGAAUUAGGCUAAACUUUCUGGAAGGCACAAAGGAAACACCCAUCCAAAGGGAUGCGCCUACCCUCUGUACUAAUUAUCUUUCGCGGCAUAAUGGAUCAUGCCCAAACUUAACGGCUUAAAACACACACACUUCAGCUCACAGCUGCUGUGGGUCAAGAGUCUAGCCUUGGCUGAGAUGUAUGCGUCUGUCUCAAGGCCCCUCAUAAGGCUGCAAUGGAGGUGUCAGCCAAGGCCACCGUCUCAUCUGAAGGCUCAACUGGGAGAGAAUUGUCUUCUAAGAAGCCUGGUGGUCUCACACCUGCUCCUUCGCCCUCAGCAGGUGUUGUCGCCCCGCCUGCCAAUGAGAAACCUGAGCUCCAGGAAAAGCAAUGAGGCCGCCCAGCCACUGAGGGAGGCGCGGGGCUGGGACUCUACCUCAUCCGUAUAUCCACGAAGCCUCUUGAUGUUUGUUCCAGAGGGAGAGGAGUGAAGGAGAAACAUGUCACCUUGAGUUAGAAAGCUGCAGGUCUGGUCUGUUAAUGACACAUAAUGACUCAAAAGCAAGCCCUGGGGUGGGGGGAGUUCCCAACGUGGCUCAGCAGGAACGAAUCUGACUAGCAUCCAUGAGGACGCAGGUUCGAUCCCUGGCCUCGCUCAGUGGGUUAAGGAUCCAGCAUUUCUGUGAGCUGUGGUGCAGGUCACAGAUGCUGUUCAGAUCUGUUGUUGUUGUGGCUGUGGCGUAGGCCAACAGCUACAGCUCUGAGUCGACCCCUAGCCUGGAAACCUCAGGUGCAGCUCUAAAAAGACAAAAAAAGCAAGCCUGGGGGACAAAAAAUCCUCACUGUGUUUCCAGGGACUGGGAGAAUCAAGAAACAAGUCUGACCAGUAAGGCACAGACCCCAGGAGGCGCUGUGGGGGCUCAGGCCUAUGGACCUGGAUUCUUAGAGACAGAAGACUGAAAGUCUCCUCCACCAGGUGUGACUCUCGGGAUCCAGAGCAUCCUGGGUAUGCCCUGGGCCACUUGCCUGGCUACUCCAGCCUUACCCCUGUCCUGGGAACUGUUUUCAGACCUCUGGGCCCACAGCCCCAGGUGAGGGGCCCACGGCCUGGCUGAAGCAGAGGCCCCAUCCCUCCCACCGGCAGCCUGCAAGCAGGUGGGUGCUGCAGGGCCUCUGCUCAGAAAGUUCCAGGACAAUGGAAAGCACCUGACAUUCAGCAAGACAGAGGAGGGUCAGCCACCCCCCGGUCCCAACCUUAGAGGUCAUUACCUCCACGUGGGACCUCCAUCCUGGCUUCCCAGCAUGCACUGGGCUCAGGAAAGCAGCCCAGCUUCGCGGGCAGGGGAAGGAGGUGGGAGGGAAGGAGAAAGAAGCAGAUGUAGGUACAGGCAGAGCCAGGCGUUUGGCUCACUUUAUCCCACAACCCUGGGAAGCAGGCAUUAAGGUUCUCUCCAUUUUCCAGAAGAGCAGACCCUGAAUCUAAGAGACAGGAAGAUGCUUGCUGGUGGUCACAUGGCCAGUGGGAACUGGGUUUAGACCCCCUCAAACGCAUCACCUGCAGCUCAGUCCAAGAGAGCAGCCACAUUCGCUCCGAGAUGAUCUUCCAGGAAACUGAGCCCACCCUGACCCUGAAAUAAGCUUCCCUGCCCUCACCUGCUGGUCCAAGGGCCCCACAAGCCCUGCUUUUCCACUCCUGUUUCCUGUCCAGGAGCCCACCAGGCCCACCAGGCUCACCAGGCCAGGCUAACUGUCCCCAAGGAGAUUCACCACAGCCACCCGUCCAAAGACUCACCCAGGCGCAGAGAAAAGCCUUGGCAGUCGCUUCAAGCAACGCAUGGAUGAGCCCAUUUCACAGCUGAGAAAAUGAAGCUAGAGCCAGGGUUCCGCUGUGCUGCUCCUGCAGCAUCCCGGACCCUCAGCCGCCCCGUCACCAGGGCUUCCCUCCAACCCCCGUAAGCUCUCCCACCUCAAGAUUUUGAAAGGCAAGCAGUUCACUUUUUAGGAGACAGUUGGCUACCAACUGCAAUAAUUUUGCAUCUCUGUGGAUUUAGUUUGAGCAGCUCAAGAGGCAUGCCAACAGCACAGACCUGACAAAGAACAAAAGGCCCCUUUAUAGACUCUCAUGACACCCCCAUCAGAAAAUGCCAAAAUACCACCAAAGGCCCCGGGGUCGCUCCAAGCCAGCACUUGGGCCCAGAGCUUAAGGUGACAAUCUGCAGGGAAAAAGUCCAACUGGCUUCACUGCAGGAAGCAGAGAUGUGCAAAGCUGCCUGGUUCCUGCCUUGUCCCGCCUUCUCACUUCACUGGUGGGGCAGCUGAGCCCUGGAGCAUCCAACGUCACACAGCUAGUUAGGAUGCGGUUAGGAUGCGGGGUCCCCAUCCUCUGACGAAGGUGACCAGGACUCGGUGCUGGGAGGGUCCGACUCCCCGGGCCCCGGGCCCUGCUCAACCAGUAACGGCUCUGCACUCAGGGCAGCUUCUCCCUCUCUCUGCCUCCUCUCUCCCCACCCCAGAAAAUUGUGCAGGUUAAACUGGAUGUUGCUAUAGCCUGUAGCCUCGGCAUGCCACGAUUCUCCUCCAUUCGCAAAGGUUGUUGGCUCUGAACUAGAUCGGGGUUAAUCAAUUAUCGACAAUGCUCGACCCUCCAGACUCUGUCUCCCUCGUCCGCCUCCCACCUGCCUGUCAUCAUCUGAAGUUACCACUUGCUGAAUUACCAAGGAGAAGGCCAGCAGGUCAAGAGAGAGGAAAUGGCAAAAGCCAAUCUUGAGUAUUUGCGCUCUGAAUAAAAUUUCAUCCCCUUCCCACUGGCAGAUUUUGUCAUUUUUAAUUUAAGCCCAGUGCACCCAGGCACGUAGACAGGAGCACGUCUGCCCCCAGCUAGAGAAUACCAGGGGCCCUGGCACUGGGAGCUCCCAGGAGGGUGGAGUGCCCUCCAGAGGCCAUGAGGGAGGGCACAGCGCAAGGCUGGCUCCUGCCCACCCUCUGUGAUGCCUGAGCACCCAUCAUCGGAGGGAGUUUGGGGAAAUUGUAUUUAAUAAUAGCAACAACAGUAGCAGCGCUCAUUUCUUGAGCACUGCAUGUGCCUGAUACAUACCGUCUUGCUUAGUAUCCUGCAAGGUGGACACUCUGGUUAUGUCCAUUGUACAGAUGAACAAACUGAGGCCCAGCAAGGAUUAGUAACAUGCCAAGACCACACAGCCCGUUGAGAGCAGAGUGGGCUGUAAACCUGCUCUGUCUGAUUCUGAUGCAUGUGCCCCUGAGCCAAGGUCCCCGGCCUUUCAGGAGAGGAGCACGAUUAAGAGUCUCCGGCCUGUAAAUACAUUCUUCUUUUCACAUUCUCCCCCAUCAACUGUAAGUAACGAACUUUUUAAAAAUAGACAAUGUGUGGAGUUCCCAUUGUGGCUCAGUGGUUAACAAACCCAACUAGCAUCCAGGAGGACGUGGGUUCCAUCCCUGACCUCGCUCAGUGGGUUGAGGAUCCAGCAUUGCUGUGAGCUAUGGGGUAGAUCGCAGACACAGCUCAGAUCCCGCCUUGCUAGGGCUGGGGCUCAGACUGGCGGCUACAGCUCCAAUUGGACCCCUAGCCUCUGAACCUCCAUAUGCAGCAGGUGCGGCCCUAAAAAGAUAGAUGGAUAGAUAGAUAGAUAGAUAGAUAGAUAGAUAGAUAGAUAGAUAAACGAUGUGAUAUAUAAAAAAUAAAAUCAAUAAUGUGAGGAGUUCCCAUCAUGGCUCAGUGGUUAAUGAAUCUGACUAGGAACCAUGAGGUUGCAGGUUCAAUCCCUGGCCUCGCUCAGUGGGUUAAGGAUCCGGCAUUGCUGUGAGCUGUGGUGUAGGUCACAGACAUGGCUCAGAUCCUGCAUUGCUGUGGCUGUGGCUGUGGCUGGCGGCUACAGCUUCGAUUAGACCCCUAGCCUGGGAAUCUCCACAUGCCAUGGGAGCGGCCCAAGAAAUGGCAAAAAGACUAAAUAAAUAAAUAAAUAAAGUGGUAUUUGAAAAAAAAGAAAAUCUCUGGGUUCUGGGCCCCUGUGAAAAACCAACCCAUGUGUUCCUUCGGCAAGCAGGACAGCUGGCUCAUGGACCAGGUAUGAAGGGAUACCAAGCAAAAGCUUCAGUUGAUGGUGACACAGUUCUGGAAGCAGAGGUCCAGGAUUUCAGAAAUGUCCACUGGAUGGUGAAGCCAUGGUGACACAUGGCGUCCAGCACUUGCUGUGAAAUCUUUCAGGAGACAAAGAAAUUAAAUAGGGCAAAAAUCUUA
rnacentral:lncRNA from 1 species